rnacentral:pre_miRNA from 1 species
GGGGGGAGGGGGGGGUCCCUCAACCCAGAUUGCGAGAGGGCGCAGGCCAGACCGAGGGACCCCACCGGUGCACA